CAGGCUGUACUACAUGUUUUUGUACAUUGUUUACAGUUCCUAUGCUGAACACAUACUGUGUUGAAUUCUGUACAGAGUGGAAAGGCAAAGACAUCAUGGAGGACGAGGACACUUGUUCACAGAUGUACAAGAGACUGCAAUUAUAAAUAUGGUUUUGGCCAACAAUGCAAUUAGUCAUCCUCUAUGAUAACAGUAUUGGAGUAUUGGAACUGGAUGCCCGUGUAAUUCACCAUUAAUUUAUUUAUGUGGAUGAGGUUGGCUUCAACCUCACCAAAACCAGGCGCCGCGGAAGAAAUGUAAUAGGACAGAGGGCAAUGACCAAUGUCCCUGGACAGCGUGGGGGUAAUAUAACUAUGUGUGCUGCCAUCACUCAAAACGGGGUCCUCCGUCACAACGCCACACUGGGUCCGUACAACACCGGCCAUAUGCUCACUUUUCUGGAUGCUGAUAGAUUUGUGGGACUUUAUGGGACAAUGUUAGUUUUCACCGGGCUGUUCUGGUCCAAAACCGGUUUGCCACCCCUCCACAAUGUGUAGUUUUGUACCUACCCCCAUAUUCACCUUUUCUAAAGCCCAUAGAGGAAUUCUUCUCAGCCCGGCGCUGGAAAGUGUAUGAUCGCCAACCCUAUGCCCGCAUGCCGCUUCUCCAGGCAAUGGAGGACGAAUGUGGGGACAUAGAGGUUGCCUCUGUCCAAGGUUGGAUACGCCAUGCUAGGAGAUACUUCCCUCCAUGUGGGGACAUAGAGGUUGCCUCUGUCCAAGGUUGGACACGCCAUGCUAGGAGAUACUUCCCUCCAUGUGGGGACAUAGAGGUUGCCUCUGUCCAAGGUUGGAUACGCCAUGCUAGGAGAUACUUCCCUCCAUGUGGGGACAUAGAGGUUGCCUCUGUCCAAGGUUGGAUACGCCAUGCUAGGAGAUACUUCCCUCCAUGUGGGGACAUAGAGGUUGCCUCUGUCCAAGGUUGGAUACGCCAUGCUAGGAGAUACUUCCCUCCAUGUGGGGACAUAGAGGUUGCCUCUGUCCAAGGUUGGAUACGCCAUGCUAGGAGAUACUUCCCUCCAUGUGGGGACAUAGAGGUUGCCUCUGUCCAAGGUUGGACACGCCAUGCUAGGAGAUACUUCCCUCGAUGUUUGGCAAGAGAAAACAUAUCUUGUGAUGUGGACAAAGUAUUGUGGCCAGACCCAGGCCGGAGAAGAGAUGAAGCGUAGCUUAGCACUGGUGACUGCC
ensembl:lncRNA